ensembl:snoRNA Gm24071 small nucleolar RNA SNORA17
ACUGACCCCAGAGGCAUUGCAGGCAUGGCUUCUGUGUGUCAUGUGUGUCAGUAGGUGACAGAGAAGAGAGAGGCUAUGUCUACUCUCAGUGUUCUGACCUACAAACAUCUGAGUGGUUGGCAGCCUAACCCU